rnacentral:rRNA from 1 species
UACGUAGGGGGCAAGCGUUGUCCGGAAUCAUUGGGCGUAAAGAGCGUGUAGGCGGCCAGAAAAGUCCGCUGUGAAAACUCGAGGCUCAACUUCGAGCUGUCGGUGGAAACUUUCUGGCUAGAGUCCGGAAGAGGAGAAUGGAAUUCCUGGUGUAGCGGUGAAAUGCGUAGAUAUCGUAAGGAAGACCAGUGGCGAAGGCGGGUCUCUGGACAGUUCCUGACGCUGAGGCACGAAGGCCAGGGGAGCAAACGGG